UAUACAAGGUGCUGCAUGGUUGUCGUCAGCUCGUGCCGUGAGGUGUCGGGUUAAGGUCCCAUAACCGAGCGCAACCCCUAUCAUUAGUUGCCAUCAGGUCAAGCUGGGGACUCUAAUGAAACUGCCUACGCAAGUAGUGAGGAAGGUGGGGAUGACGUCAAAUCAGCACGGCCCUUACGUCCAGGGCUACACACGUGCUACAAUGGCGCAUACAAAGGGCAGCGAUACCGCGAGGUGGAGCCAAUCCCAAAAAGUGCGUCCCAGUCCGGAUUGCAGUCUGCAACUCGACUGCAUGAAGUUGGAAUCGCUAGUAAUUCGAGAUCAGCAUGCUCGGGUGAAUGCGUUCCCGGGCCUU
rnacentral:rRNA from 1 species